AAUGGCGGAGGCUUCGAAAUCUACAAUGAGCGCACCAGCCAAAACAGAGGGAGAGAUGAGAAGAAGUAAACGCGUGAGACAGCCAUCUAAGAGAAUGUUGUUGUAUUCUCAGGACACAGAUUCAGAUUCAAGUCUACCGAAGAGUUAAGGAAAACGUCCUGCCAGAAAGAUCCAGAAAGUUGAUACAUUAGCAACAAUAACUAAGGGGACACUGGAACGCCAUAGCACGUCUGACGAUGAAUCUGUACUGGCUUUUGUUCCUUCAAGUACUGAUGAGUCUGAAGGAGAACCACUCAGUGAGAGAGAGGAUGAUUUAAGAACCAAACGAAAGGGAAGGAAAAGAGGAAGUAAGAAAGUGAAAAGGCGCUGUUAUGACCAUGAAUAACAAGAAAGAAUUCUUAAAUACAUGUAUAGAAAAGAACAAGAACGAAAAUCUAAGGAAAUAAUUGCAAGUCUUAAGACACCGAAAGGAAAGAAUUUUUGAAAGAGGUUUGUGAGAACCAACCGAGUUUCAUAAUAGAUAUUGCUAGAAUUUUAUCAAAAAGGAAAGAGAAAAAGGACCAAGACCCUCGUGUCCAGUCCGGAGUGGUGCUCUUGUCACAGAUGCCCACAAUACGAGAGAGUGGAAGAUCGAGUUUGCUGUGGGAUGGUCCCAGAAUUAUGCUCAAGUCACAGACCUGAGAUGACUCUAUCGGUGCUGGAUAGGAUGACCCUCUACAGUCAGCAGAAGUAUCAACAAGAUGUGUUUUCCUUUUAUGCAGAGACACUAGAAGAUGUCAAUAAAUCUUUCAGACAUGCUGCAUACAGACAAUUUACCAUCUUAAUGCAUGGGAAACUGACUGCUGGAGACAGAAUAACUGUCCCAGCAUGUUGUGUUAAAUUAAUAAGGGAGAAUUUUCCUAGUCCUUAAGGCCAGUAUACAGGCUUCGUACCAGGUGAAGGCCCAGUGUUCUAAUAAUUUUGCAUAUUUAUGCCCCCCUUCGAAGAAGAGGGGGCAUAUAGCUUUGCACAUGUCGGUCCGUCCACCAGAUGGUUUCGGGAUAACUUAAGAACGCUUAGGCCUAGGAUCAUGAAACUUCAUAGGUACAUUGAUCAUGACUGGCAAAUAACCCCUAUUGAUUUUCAGGUCACUAGGUCAAAGGUCAGUGACUCGAAACAGUAAAGCGGUUUCCGGAUGAUAACUCAAGAAUGCUUACGCCUAGGAUCUUGAAACUUCAUAGGUACAUUGAUCACGACUGGCAGAUGACCCCUUUAGAUUUUCCGGUCACAAAGUCAAAGGUCAAGGUCACAGUGACUCAAAACAAUAAAAUGGUUUCCAGCUGAUAACUCUAGAAUGCUUACUCCUUUUGGCCAUGAAACUUCAUAGCUACAUUGAUAAUGACUGGCAGAUGACCCCUUUUGAUUUUCAGGUCACUAGGUCAAGGUCACAGUGACUCGAAAUAGUCAAAUGGUUUCCUGAUAACUCAAGAAUAAUUAGGCCUAGGAUCAGGAAACUUCAUAGGUACCUUGAUCAUGACUGACAGAUGACCCCUAUUAAUUUUCAGGUCACUAUGUCAAAGGUCAAGGUCACAGUGACAAAAAACGUAUUCACACAAUGGCUGCCACUACAACUGACAGCCUAUAUGGUGGGCAUGCAUGUUUUACAAACAGCCCUUGUUGCUAUUCUUUUUCAUUUAUCAGACAAAGAACUUUUCUUAGUUUUGAUUAUUUUUGUUCUGGCUCCUUUUUUGAAACAUUUAUAUUUAUGCAAAUCAUUUGAGUUAUGCUUAAUCAUUUGGAUUUUUCAGUUCUAUGCAUUUUGUUUUGAAAUACCAAUUUGUAUGAAAUGUGCUAGUUUAUUAUCAAAACUUGCACAGCAGUUUUUACAUUUGUAUGCUUACUUUGGUGUCAUUUGAAUGAAAUGCCACGAGUACUCUGGAUUGUAAGAUGAAAGAAAUAAAAGAAGCAAUGACAUAUUUCUUAAGAAUACUAUGUAAAUAAACUAAUUGAAUAUCAAAAUUCAUUUCUUGUAUAUUUAUUUUAUUUUCUUGUUUGAACUUAAUAGUUUGAUUUUUACACUUUUUAGCUCACCUGAACACAAUGUGCUCAUGGUGAGCUUUUGUGAUCGCCUUUUGUCCGUCGUGCGGCGUCUACAUUUGCCUUGUUAACACUCUACAGCCGUACAGGCCACAUUUAUUGCCCAAUCUAAAUGAAAUUUGUCAAAAGAUUGGUCUCGAGGAUAUUUUGGAUGAGUUCAAAAAUGGUAACGUUUGCUUGAAAAGACCGUUCAUAAAAAACAGUCCAUAGUGUAUUACCUGUUUUUAUUUUUUAUAUCUUUUGCUUUUAUUCAAUUUUAAGUUUGCAUUUUGAUUUUUUUAUUAUGCGCACCUUCGAAGAAGAGGAGGUAUGUUGUUCGCUCAUGUCAGUCGGUCGGUCCGUCCGUCCACCGAAUGGUUUCCGGAUUAUAACUCAAGAACGCUUAUGCUUAGGAUUAUGAAACUUCAUAGGUACAUUGAUCAUGACUGGCAGAUGACCCCUAUUGAUUUUUAGGUCACUAGGUCAAAGGUCAAGGUUACGGUGACUCGCACAGAAAAAUGGUUUCCGGAUGAUAACUCAAGAACGCCUAGGAUCAUGAAACUUCAUAGGUACAUUGAUCAUGACUCGCAGAUGACCCCUAUUGAUUUUCAGGUCACUAGGUCCAAGGUCAAGGUUACUCGACACAGUAAAAUAGUUUCCGGAUGAUAACUCAAGAAAGCUUACGCCUAGGAUCAUGAAACUUCAUAGAUUCAUUGAUCACGACUCGCAGAUGACCCCUAUUGAUUUUCAGGUCACUAGGUCAAAGGUCAAGGUCACAGUGACAAAAAACGUAUUCACACAAUGGCUGCCACUACAACUGACAGCCCAUAUGAGGGGCAUGCAUGUUUUACAAACAGCCCUUGUUUAUUUUUAUUUUGAGUCAUUUUGUUUCACACUUGAUAUUUUGUUAGAUUAGGUUUCUUAAAAUACAUUUCAAACAUGACAUAUGCUAAUGCAUGAAUAAACAUUUUGAAAUCAAUAAAAAAGCAACAAGUUGCUGUUGAAAUUUAAAAAAAUAGUAUCUUA